CGGGGGUGGGAGAGAGAAGGGGAGAGAUGGAUCUCAGUCCCGAGGGGAGGAAGGGCAGAGGCGAGAGAGACAGAAGCGGAGCCCGGAAAAGACCCCCAUUUCUCGAACCACGCGGAAGGCGGCAAGGACCCCAGCGCGGAGCGAGCGCGAACUUCGGGACCCCGGCCGCAGGGGCGGCGGCGAGUCUCCCGCGGCCGCCCCGCGCCCACUAGCCGCACUCACCUGCAGCGCCCAGCUCCGCGCCCGCACUGCGCCCGGCGCCGCUUGCCGCGCACCCGCCUGUUGCUAGGACGCCAGUGAAACGCCCGGCGCCCGCGCAGAGCGUCGCCGCCCCGCGGAAGAAAGCUCUGAGCCCGCCCUCCGCGCCGCAGCUGCCUGCCGUGCGAUCGCGCCCGGAGCCCGCCCAGACCACAGCCGCGUGCUCCCGGCGGCCCCGCGCCCCCGCCGCCGGCCCUGCUGGAGCCCGGCUUCGCGGGGUUUCGCUAAAGCCUGCAGCCGCCGCGUCCCCUCCCUGGGAAUAGUGUUAUUCGACCUCCUUCUGCCAGGAGGACUCUCCCUGAAUCACUCCACCAGGUGAGAACUUACCACUGGAAGGGACCUGCAUUACGCCAUUGCGAUCACAGGACACUCCUGCUGCACCGUGACUUUCCUCAAAGCAACACUUUGAAUAAAUAAUGCCACUCCCUUCAGGCCUACAGACUUCCUGUUGAAAAUCAGCUGAUUGCUGAUAGCAAUAUGAAUGGCAGUCUGCUGGAUAACCACCUUGCGUAUUUCUACCACCUGAAGAUCUCCAUGUGGAAAGUUCCAAGGUUAAUUUUCCGUCUUCCUGAAGAACCUGUCCAGUGCUUUCAAGUUCAAUCGUGUCACUCCAGGGAAUGUGACAGCUGUGCAGAAAAACAGCCUUUGCUCAUGUUUCUGGCUCCAGUUAUAGCAACACCAGGCAGCACAGGGCAGCGAAAAUAGCAUGGUCGGAGGAAGGCGGACCCUGACCCUGAUUCCACGACUUAUCACCUGUCACCUUGGAAAAGUUGUUCUGGAGUGCCAUGAACUGUGCCCACGUAAGAUGGUGAGCUUAAUCAACAAACGGUGUGUGUUUUCUGGCUGCUCCACUGACUGCCCAUUGCCUGAUCUCUCCCCGUCUCCUCAGGCCUCCCUAUUCCCUGAGACACAACAAUACUGAAAUUAGGCCAAUGAAUAACUCCACGAUCGCCUCUAAGUGUUCAAGUGCAAGGAAGAGCUGUACGGCUCCCGCUUUCAGUCAAAAGCUAGACACGAUUAAGCCUAGGGAGGAAGGCACGUGGAAAGCUGAGACAGGCUGAAAGCUAGGCCUCCUGCACCGAACAGUCAAGUUGUGAAUGCAAAAGAAAAAUUCUCGAAGGAAAUGAAAAGUGCUACUCCAGUGAAUGCACGUGAAUCGGCCUUAUUGCUGACCUGGAGAGAAGAGCCAACCAGCCACAACAGUCCUGCAAGCCCAAGCCCGACUCCCUUCAAUUCUACGAAGGCAGCGAGAGGGGAGGAAGCUGCAGAAGGAAAGUGUGAAGCCAGCAGAGGUUGUCCCUGACGUUUAAGGAAACAAGUCAUCUCUGUCACAGAAAAGUGCAGGGUGAAGCAGCAGAUGCUGAUGGAGAAGCUACAGCAAGUUACCCAGAAGACCCAGCUGAGAUAGAUCAUUAAUGAAGGUGCCUACACCAAGUGGAUUUUCACUGUAAAUCAAACAGCCUUAUACUGGAAGAAGGUGCCAUCUAGGCUUUCACAGCUAGAGAGAAGUCAAUGCCUGGCUCCAGAGCUCUAAAGGACAGUCUACCUCGUUAGGGGUGAAUGUCAUUGAUGGCUUUAAAGCUGAAGCCAGUGUUCACUGGCUGUUCUGAAAAUCCCAACGCCCUUAAGAAUUAUGGAAAAUGUACUCUACCUGUGCUCUAUAAAUGGAACAACAAAGCCUGUUUAUCAGCACCUCUGUUUCCAACAUGGUUUACUGGAUGUUUUAAGCCCACUGUUCAAAGCUAGUGCUCAGAUUCUUUCUGAAAUACUACGAAAGCACCUUGCCACCAAGAGCUCGGAUGGAGACGUAAAACGAGACUAAUGUUGUUGUCAAGCCUGCUAACACAACAUCCGUUCUGCAGUCCAUGGAUCAAGGAGUAAUUCUGACUUUCAGUUCUUACUAAGAAGUACAUUUUUGUAAGGCUAUGGCUGCCAUAGAUAGUGACUUCUCUGACGGAUUUGGGCAAAAUAAGUUGAAAACUGAAUUAUGGAAAGAUAACUUUCUGGAAAGAGUUCACACUAGAUGCUGUUAAGAACAUUUGUGAUUCAUGGGAAGAGAUCAAAAUAUCAACAUUAACAGUUUGGAAGAAGUGGAUUCCAAUACUCAUGAAUGACUUUGAGGGGUUCAAGCCUUGAGCGGAGAAAGUCCCUGCAGCUGGGGUGUAAAUAGCGGGAGAAUUGGAAUUAGAAGUGGAGCCUGAAGAUGGGGCCGAAUUGCUGCCACCUUGUGAUCAAACUUUAAUGGAUGAGGAGUUGCUUCCUACGGAUGAGCAAAGAAAGUGGUUUCUGGAUCUGGAAUCUACCCCUGUGAAGAUGCUGUGAAGACUGUUGAAAUGACAACAGAGGACUGAGAAUGCUACAUACACUCAGCUGAUAAAGCAGCACAGUAUUUGAGAGGAUCAAGUCCAAUUUGGGGAGAAGUUCUACUGUGGGUCAAAUGCUAUCGAACACCAACCACUGCAUGCUACAGAGAAAGUGUUUGUGAAAGGAAGAGUCAAUAAUGUGGCAAACUUCACUGUUGUCUUAUUUUAAGAAGUUGCCACAGCCACCCCUGCCUUCAGCAGCCACCAACCUCAGGGCAAAACCCUCCCCCCAGAACAAAAAAUGACUUUCUGAAAGCUCAGAGGACAGUAGCAUUUUUUUAGCAAUAAAGUAUUUUAAAAUUAA